GACGUAGGGCGCGAGCGUUGUCCGGAUUUAUUGGGCGUAAAGAGCUCGUAGGCGGCUCGUUGCGUCGGCUGUGAAAACCCGCAGCUCAACUGUGGGCUUGCAGCCGAUACGGGCGGGCUGGGAUUCGGUAGGGGAGACUGGAAUUCCUGGUGUAGCGGUGAAAUGCGCAGAUAUCAGGAAGAACACCCGUGGCGAAGGCGGCUCUCUGGGACGGUACUGACGCUGAGACGCGAAAGCUAGGGGAGCAAACAGG
rnacentral:rRNA from 1 species